CCUACGGGAGGCUGCAGUGGGGAAUAUUGGACAAUGGGGGGAACCCUGAUCCAGCCAUGCCGCGUGUGUGAAGAAGGCCCUCGGGUUGUAAAGCACUUUCAGUGAGGAAGAACGCCUGGUGGUGAAUACCCAUCAGGAAAGACAUCACUCACAGAAGAAGCACCGGCUAACUCCGUGCCAGCAGCCGCGGUAAUACGGAGGGUGCGAGCGUUAAUCGGAAUUACUGGGCGUAAAGCGCGCGUAGGUGGCUUGAUAAGCCGGUUGUGAAAGCCCCGGGCUCAACCUGGGAACGGCAUCCGGAACUGUCAAGCUAGAGUGCAGGAGAGGAAGGUAGAAUUCCCGGUGUAGCGGUGAAAUGCAUAGAGAUCGGGAGGAAUACCAGUGGCGAAGGCGGCCUUCUGGACUGACACUGACACUGAGGUGCGAAAGCGUGGGUAGCAAACAGGAUUAGAUACCCUGGUAGUC
rnacentral:rRNA from 1 species